CCCUUAGAUGUUCUGGGCCGCACGCGCGCUACACUGACGAAUGCAAAGAGCUUAUAACCUUGGCCGAAAGGUCUGGGUAAUCUCCAAAUUUCGUCGUGAUGGGGAUAGAUUAUUGCAAUUAUUAAUCUUCAACGAGGAAUGCCUAGUAAGCGCAAGUCAUCAGCUUGCGUUGAUUACGUCCCUGCCCUUUGUACACACCGCCCGUCGCUCCUACCGAUUGAAUGGUCCGGUGAAGCGUUCGGACCGUGGCCUUUGGACGGUUCGCCGUCUGUUGGCUGCGGGAAGUUCGUUAAACCUUAUCAUUUAGAGGAAGGAGAAGUCGUAACA
rnacentral:rRNA from 1 species